rnacentral:rRNA from 1 species
UGGGGGAUAUUGCACAAUGGGGGAAACCCUGAUGCAGCGACGCCGCGUGAGUGAAGAAGUAUUUCGGUAUGUAAAGCUCUAUCAGCAGGGAAGAAAAUGACGGUACCUGACUAAGAAGCUCCGGCUAAAUACGUGCCAGCAGCCGCGGUAAUACGUAUGGAGCAAGCGUUAUCCGGAUUUACUGGGUGUAAAGGGAGCGUAGACGGCAUGGCAAGUCUGAUGUGAAAGGUGCGGGCUCAACCCACAAACUGCAUUGGAAACUGUCUAGCUAGAGUGUCGGAGAGGUAAGUGGAAUUCCUAGUGUAGCGGUGAAAUGCGUAGAUAUUAGGAGGAACACCAGCGGCGAAGGCGGCUUACUGGACGAUAACUGACGUUGAGGCUCGAAAGCGUGGGGAGCAAACA